rnacentral:rRNA from 1 species
CAGCCGCCGCGGUAACACGUAAGUCGCGAGCGUUGUUCGGAAUUAUUGGGCGUAAAGGGCAUGCAGGCGGAAUUGCAAGCUUGGUGUGAAAUACCGGGGCUUAACUCCGGAAUAGCAUUGAGAACUGCAAAACUAGAGUCACUGAGGGGCAAUCAGAAUUCCAGGUGUAGGGGUGAAAUCUGUAGAUAUCUGGAAGAAUACCAAUGGCGAAGGCAGGUUACCAGCAGAUGACUGACGCUGAGGUGCGAAGGUGCGGGGAGCAAACAGGAUUAGAGACCCCGGUAGUCCCUGUCUCUUAUAC